rnacentral:lncRNA from 1 species
CCAUCUUCAUGCUGUACUAUACCAACUCCAUAUAGAAAAAAGCAUUACAAGGUUCCAUCGAAUUCCACUAGAAAUAUUCAGGCGUACUCCAUAUAGAAAAAAGCAUUACAAGGUUCCAUCGAAUUCCACUAGAAAUAUUCAGGCGUACAAAGGAACUACAUGCAACUCGAUUGUCACACUUGUAGAACGACGUCAUCCUCUACUGAUCAAUGGCAAUUGUAAAUCCAAUUUUAUAG